GCCCUGCCAUAAACUUCGAUGUACAAACACAAUAAACAUCCGCCAGGGGACUACGAGCGCCAGCUUAAAACCCAAAGGACUUGGCGGUGCUUCAGACCCCCCUAGAGGAGCCUGUUCUAGAACCGAUAACCCCCGUUUAACCUCACCACUUCUAGCCCCUCCCCGCCUAUAUACCGCCGUCGUCAGCUUACCCUGUGAAGGCACCAUAGUAAGCAAAAUGGGUAAACCCCAAAACGUCAGGUCGAGGUGUAGCACACGAAGUGGAAAGAAAUGGGCUACAUUAUCUGAAACAGAUCACUAACGAACGGUCCCGUGAAACAAAAGACCCAAAGGAGGAUUUAGCAGUAAAGAAGGAGUAGAGCGCCCUCUUGAAGCCGGCCCUGAAGCGCGCACACACCGCCCGUCACUCUCCCCGACAACCAAAUUAAACCAAGAUAACCUAACAAAACAACAACAAUAAAGGGGAGGCAAGUCGUAACAUGGUAAGUGUACCGGAAGGUGCACUUGGAACAAC
rnacentral:rRNA from 1 species